CAACGCCCUCGACCUAUUCUCAAA
rnacentral:snRNA from 1 species